rnacentral:snRNA from 1 species
UUUCUUCAGCAAUGGAUACAAAUCUAAAAUUGGAACAAUGCAGAGAAGAUUGGCAUGGCCCCUGUGCAAG